UACGUAGGGUGCGAGCGUUAAUCGGAAUCACUGGGCGUAAGCGCACGUAGGCGGAUCGUUAAGUCAGGGGUGAAAUCCUGGAGCUCAACUCCAGAACUGCCUUUGAUACUGGCGAUCUUGAGUUCGAGAGAGGUGAGUGGAACUGCGAGUGUAGAGGUGAAAUUCGUAGAUAUUCGCAAGAACACCAGUGGCGAAGGCGGCUCACUGGCUCGAUACUGACGCUGAGGUGCGAAAGCGUGGGGAGCAAACAGG
rnacentral:rRNA from 1 species